AUGGUCGAAGCAGAGUAGAUGAAGACCCAACAGCCAUUUUUCUGAUUGAUUGACUGAGAAGGGUAUUCCGCCCUAUUGGUCUUCAGGAUUAUGGUCGAAGCAGAGUAGAUGAAGACCCAACAGCCAUUUUUCUGAUUGAUUGACUGAGAAGGGUAUUCCGCCCUAUUGGUCUUUGGGAUUAUGGUCGCAGCAGACGAAGGCUCACCACAGUGACAGAAAGUUUCACCGA
rnacentral:lncRNA from 1 species